CCUACGGGAGGCAGCAGUGGGGAAUAUUGCACAAUGGGGGAAACCCUGAUGCAGCGACGCCGCGUGAGUGAAGAAGGAUCUCGGGAUGUAAAGCUCUAUCAGCAGGGAAGAAAAUGACGGUACCUGAAUAAGAAGCCCCGGCUAACGACGUGCCAGCAGCCGCGGUAAUACGUAGGGGGCCAGCGUUAUCCGGAUUUACUGGGUGUAAAGGGAGCGUAGACGGCAGCACAAGUCUGGAGUGACAUGCCGGGGCUUAACCCCGGAACUGCUUUGGAAACUGUGCAGCUAGUGUGCAGGAGAGGUAAGUGGAAUUCCUAGUGUAGCGGUGAAAUGCGUCGAUAUUAGGAGGAACACCAGUGGCGAAGGCGGCUUACUGGACUGUAACUGACGUUGAGGCUCGAAUGCGUGGGGAGCAAACAGGAUUAGAUACCCGAGUAGUC
rnacentral:rRNA from 1 species